rnacentral:lncRNA from 1 species
GCCCGCUACAAUUCCAGUGGGCAUUCGAGUCUAGUUGGUUUUAUGUACUUAGGUAUCUAUUGUCAUAGAAGCUCCAUGUACACUGUGGGUCAUGUACUUAAGUUUUGAGUUUCGUCAUAUAUUUAUGUUCACAGAUAUUUAUGAAGCUAUGUACCCAUCACGAGAUAAAAAGAAAAAAAUAUUAAUGGGCCAUUGAGCCAAAUAUAUUCAAUAUGAAAGUCAUGAUCUAAUUAUGUUUUGAUAAAUCAUGUAUGAGUUAUGAUGAGAGGUUGAUGUAACGUAGGCUUGCUCGACUGGGUUCACUCGGUUGAGCGACGAUCGCGCUCCUCGAGUGUUCGGGGCGUGACAAACUUGGUAUCAGAGCCAGGUUUAGGAGUCCUAAGGUGUCAUGGAGCUGUGUCAGUAGAGUCCCUCUUAUCGGUGUGUUGCCGUCCACGCUUAUAAUAGGGAGACUACAACGACAUUUAGGAAAUGUUUCUCUUCUUCUAUCCUCGAUCGUGCGUUAAGGUUCCAAGUUAGUCUUAGAGUUCCCUUGUUAAUACCAAGGAAUGUUGCACAUUGUGCUAUGAAAUGAGAAAGGCCUAAGGAUUAAAGGAAUAAUGCACAUGACAUGCAUAAUGUAUGAGGUGACCAAUUGUCCUCGUAAUGGAGGAAGGAAAAGUCAAGGAUACUACCAAGGUAAGCAAGGUCAUACAGUUGGCCUCAAAAGUCAAAGUUGUUGAUUUCAUGUAUAUGGUGAAAUGUGGUGAUAUCUAUAUGUUAUUUAGGAUUGAUUUCUAGGAUUCUCUGGUAGGUGGAUAAGCCUAGUUACAAGGGAAACUCUGCCGAAAAUUUUAAGAAAUUGUAAAGAUAGCCAAAUUAUAAGGGCUAUAAGUAAGUUAAAAUUUUGGAAAGGAAAUAUAAGACAUAUGUAUUCAUAAGUGCCUAUGCAUAAUGGUUGGAGAUAAAAGGAUGGUAAAUCUAUUAUUAGAAGUGACUUUUAAAACAUUCGAGCACGAAUGUUCUUAAGUGGGGGAGAAUGUAACACCCCGGAAAAAUUCGAAGUACUUAAGCGCUAUAUAGAAAGUUGAUGUGCGCUAAUUAUAUUAUUUUGUAUGCAGACAAGGACUAUUAUAUGAAUAAUAUCAAUUGAUCAUGAUAAUAUAUGUAUGAGGUGCAUUAAUAAUGGUUUAUGGUCUAAGAAGAGCCCCAAGGCUAAGUCAAGUUGAAAAUUUUAUGAUGGGAUAAAGUUUCAAGUGAAUUCGCACAAGACUUAAUUUCAAAUGAGAAUAACUCUCUUGAUAUGAAGAUUUAUAUGGUGUGUUACCUAUAAAAAGAAAGGUCUAUAUGUAUAGUUUCUAACUUUUCAAACCGUUUGUCAUUUGGAUAUUCCUACAAGAAGUUAUGACCAAAUUACCAAAGGCUGGCAGAAUGCGAUUUUGCGAUCACAGAACCAUUAUGUGAUCGCAGAAGUGGUUAUGCGACCGCAAAAUGGUCACAGACCUGGCCAGCGCAGCCCAAUUUUGGGCAUCGAUUCUGUGAUGCAUUGUGCGACCCGCAUACCCAUUGCGCGGUCCAUUAUGCGAUCUCAGACCUGAUUUUGGAGGGUUAAUUUUUCUAUUUUCAUAACCCCGGCCCCAAUUUGAUAAAUAGGCUUUGAGGCUUAUUUUGGGGCAAUCAUCUGAGGCUUUUUAAAGAGAAGUGAGAGUGUUCUAGAGAGAGAAAGUAGAUGAAGUGUUUUGUUCAUCAAGAUCUUGCCCAAGCUUUGAAAUCCAACAAGGAAAUCUCACAAGAUCUUCAUCUAAGAGGUAAGAUUCAAACCCCUAGUCUUCAAUUUCGAGUUUGAGGUAAAAGAUGGGUGAUUAGGAGUAUGAUUCUUAGGUGUAAGAGUAUUAUUUAUACAUGCUUGUACUAAUAAGGUUUGUGAGAAGAUUGUUGAGCUCAAAUGGGUAAAGAUNNNNNNNNNNNNNNNNNNNNNNNNNAAUGCUCACAUGAGCUGAAACCAUGAAUAUCUUCCUAAUUAUGGUUCAAUUUUGUUAUGUCUCAAAAUAGACUGGGCUUGCUAGAAUUUUCGGAACGUUGUAGUAAUUUAAGGAAAGCUAAAAGCGAGGUAUGUUGGCUAAACUUCUUUCCUAGAAUUGAAUUCCAUGAUGUUCUUGUAAGUCCCGAGUUAUCCUUUAUAAAUUAACUAUUCCGAAUAAUCUUUGUGUUGAAAGGUAUAUGUUCAAAAUGUAUUCCGGAUGAUCUUAUCAUAUGAUGUUAUCCUUCGGGAAUGAGAUCAAAGCAUGAGUUGGAUAUAAAAAUGUUAUGACUCCAAGUAGUGUUUCAAGUGAAGGCUAUUAUGCCAAAUUGUGUAAGAAGUCCCAAUGUGCCUAAGACUCUUAAUUGCUCAUAGGUGUACUAAAAGUCGUGAUUAGAGAUUCUUUGUUAUCGAUAAUCUAUAAUGAUGCUUGAAAGUGAAAGUAGUGAGUUGGAGAUAUAUAGUGUAGACACCGUGCCAAUGAUGAAAGUUAUGAUUGUGGCCAAUAGCGCCAAUGAAAUGAAAUGAUGUGUGAAAUAUUAUAAAAUGAGCCGUGAUUCAAUUAUUCUAAAUUGACUCCAAAAAUAGAAUUAGCCAAAAGCUUAUAUACUUAAGUCAUGUCCAAAUAUGGUUGUUCUAACUAAUGCUACGCUUCGUAAGUAUUCCAAUGUAUUUUAAGCCGUUACAUAUUUAUGAGUUGAAAUUGUGUAUUGCCCUUUUGGGGAAAGGUACUUUAAGAAUAUUCUCUACGUUGGUGUUUAUGAUGAUGAUCCUUGAAAGUAAUGAAAUGAAAGUAAGGAAUAUGAGAUACGGCUAUCGUGCCAUGAAGGAAGAAUAAUAUGUAUGGAAAAAAGGAGCCAAUGAAAUAAUGAUGUUGUAAGUAGUUGAAAGUACUAAUGAAGUGAUAGUAUGAAUAUGAAAUGUGGUCGUUUGCCUAAAUGAGAAUUAUGAGGUGUUGUAUGUCCCAAUGGUUUAGACUAUAGUUGUAUGCUUUUGAAAUAAUGUGUGUAAAUAACAUCGAUGUUAAGUUCUCAAGAAUCAUGAACUUAGCUAAUGACCUCAAGAUGUCAAGUGAGUGAAUAACGAGAUGAAAGGGAGAUGUCCUAUGCUAAAAUGAUGGUGAACCUUAAGAAAAGAAAUUGGGCUCAUGUGCCAUUGAAAUUGACUUAUUGAUUCACCAUGCAUGUGCUAAUGUAAUGAGCUAUGUUUCUCCAUGAUGAGCACGAACCUGAAGUGUUCCAAUGAUCCGGGAACUUAUGACCUUAAUGCAAUGUUAAUCAAGUCGCUUUGAGUUUAUAUAUGGUUAUGUGCAUAAUAAUAUGUAUGAACCCUAUGGAUGGUAUAUGAAACACACAGGUGUACGGUGUAAGUAAACACUGUGAACGGUCUAUGAAACGCACAUGUGUAUUGUGUAAGUAAACACUGUGAACGGUCUAUGAAACGUACAGGUAUAUUAUGCAAGUAAACACUGUGAACGGUCUAUGAAAUGCAUAGGUGUAUUGUGUAAAUAAACACUGUGAACGGUCUAUAAAACACACAGGUGUAUUGUGUAAGUAAACACUGUGAACGGUCUAUGAAACACACAUGUGUGUUGUGUAAGUAAACACUGUGAACGAUCUAUGAAACGCACAUGUGUAUUGUAUAAGUAAACACUGUGAACGGUCUAUGAAACGCACGUGUGUAUUGUGUAAGUAAUACUGUGAACGGUCUAUGAAACGCAUAUGUGUAUUGUGUAAACACUGUGAAUAGUCUAUGAAACGCACAGGUGUAUUGUAUGAUAUAUGUGAAUCCUAUGAACGAUCUAUGCAAUGCAUAGGUGUAUUGUGUAUGAAAUCCUAUGAACGGUCUAUGAAAUGCAUAGGUGUAUUGUUUAUAGAAUCCUACGAACGGUCUAUGAAAGAUAUAAGUCUUUAAUAUGACAUGUGAACACUAAGGACGAUCUAUGAAAUGUAUAGGUGUAAGAUAAGAGAGGGAAAUGGACGGUCUAGUGAGACGCAUUGUUAACGCAGAUAUUACGUGCCAUUUUCAUUGGCCUUGUUUGAACAUGUUGUUUCAAUUACUUUAUAUUAUCUAUUUCACGCAUAGUUCAUAUGGCUCAGUUAAUCCUAAACGAAAUUUAAAAUGAUGUAAGCAUAACGAGACUUGAAAUGUGAAUCUAUGAGAUAUUUCGUAGUUGUUGAUGUACUUCAUUUGACUCUUAUUUGAAUUACCAUGAUUUCAUAUGUUGUGUUGUUUGCCUUACAUGCGAGUACUAUUCCACAUGUACUCAUGUCCCUUUUUCCGGGGGCGCUGCAUCAUUUAAUGGAUGCAGGUAUACUUUUAUAGGAUGAUAUGGAUCUUUGGUAAGGAUCUUUUGCACGACAGAUUAUGGUGAGCCCGCUACAAUUCCAGUGGGCAUUCGAGUCUAGUUGGUUUUAUGUACUUAGGUAUCUAUUGUCAUAGAAGCUCCAUGUACACUGUGGGUCAUGUACUUAAGUUUUGAGUUUCGUCAUGUAUUUAUGUUCACAGAUAUUUAUGAAGCUAAGUACCCAUCACGAGAGAAAAAGAAAAAAAAAUAUUUAUGGGCCAUUGAGCCAAAUGUAUUCAAUAUGAAAGUCAUGAUCUAAUUAUGUUUUGAGAAAUCAUGCAUGAGUUAUGAUGAGAGGUUAAUGUAAC